rnacentral:rRNA from 1 species
UACGGGGGGGGCAAGCGUUGUUCGGAAUUAUUGGGUUUAAAGGGUGCGUAGGCGGCCUAUUAAGUCAGUGGUGAAAUAUCUCAGCUCAACUGAGAGUGUGCCAAUGAUACUGAUGGGCUUGAGUACAGAUGAGGUAGGCGGAAUUGACGGUGUAGCGGUGAAAUGCUUAGAUAUCGUCAAGAACACCUAUAGCGAAGGCAGCUUACUAGGCUGUAACUGACGCUGAGGCACGAAAGUGUGGGGAUCAAACAGG